GCAUAUCAAUAAGCGGAGGAAAAGAAACCAACAGGGAUUGCCCUAGUAACGGCGAGUGAAGCGGCAACAGCUCAAAUUUGAAAUCUGGCCCCAGGCCCGAGUUGUAAUUUGCAGAGGAUGCUUUUGGCGACGCGCCUUCCGAGUUCCCUGGAACGGGACGCCAUAGAGGGUGAGAGCCCCGUACGGUCGUGCGCCUAGCCUCUGUAAAGCUCCUUCGACGAGUCGAGUAGUUUGGGAAUGCUGCUCUAAAUGGGAGGUAUACGUCUUCUAAAGCUAAAUACCGGCCAGAGACCGAUAGCGCACAAGUAGAGUGAUCGAAAGAUGAAAAGCACUUUGAAAAGAGGGUUAAAUAGUACGUGAAAUUGCUGAAAGGGAAGCGCUCAUGACCAGACUUGGGCCGGUGAAUCAUCCAGCGUUCUCGCUGGUGCACUUUGCCGGUCCAGGCCAGCAUCAGUUCGCGCCGGGGGAUAAAGGCUUCGGGAAUGUGGCUCCUCCGGGAGUGUUAUAGCCCGUUGCGUAAUACCCUGGGGUGGASUGAGGUACGCGCUCCGCAAGGAUGCUGGCGUAAUGGUCAUCAGCGACCCGUCUUGAAACACGGACCAAGGAGUCGUCUUCGUAUGCGAGUGUUCGGGUGUCAAACCCUUACGCGUAAUGAAAGUGAACGUAGGAGAGAGCUUCGGCGCAUCUCCGACCGAUCCUGAUGUUCUCGGAUGGAUUUGAGUAAGAGCAUACGGGGCCGGACCCGAAAGAAGGUGAACUAUGCCUGUAUAGGGUGAAGCCAGAGGAAACUCUGGUGGAGGCUCGCAGCGGUUCUGACGUGCAAAUCGAUCGUCAAAUAUGGGCAUGGGGGCGAAAGACUAAUCGAACCUUCUAGUAGCUGGUUUCCGCC
rnacentral:rRNA from 1 species